UACAGGGGGAUAGUCAAUAGAAAUGUUGAAUAAUACCCCAUACGAUCUUCAAGAGGCAUUACUUGAAGAAGAAAGCUCCGGCGGUAGAAGAUGGGCAUGCGUCCUAUUAGUUAGUUGGUGAGGUAACGGCUCACCAAGACCACGAUAGGUAGGGGCCCUGAGAGGGGGAUCCCCCACACUGGUACUGAGACACGGACCAGACUCCUACGGGAGGCAGCAGUGAGGAAUAUUGGACAAUGGAGGCAACUCUGAUCCAGCCAUGCCGCGUGCAGGAAGACUGCCCUAUGGGUUGUAAACUGCUUUUAUACAGGAAGAAACCUACUUACGUGUAAGUAGCUGACGGUACUGUAAGAAUAAGGAUCGG
rnacentral:rRNA from 1 species